rnacentral:rRNA from 1 species
AGUGAACGCUGGCGGCGUGCUUAACACAUGCAAGUCGAACGAGAACGGGUUAUAGCUUGCUAUAAUUGUCAGCUAAGUGGCGCACGGGUGAGUAAUGUAUAGGUAAUAUGCCUCUUACUAAGGGAUACCAAAUGGAAACGUUUGCUAAUACCUUAUACUCCUUAUUAACAUAAUUUAAGAAGGGAAAGAUUUACUGGUAAGAGAUUAGCCUGUAUUGUAUUAGAUAGUUGGUGGGGUAAUGGCUUACAAAUACUAUGACACAUAAAUGGUUUGAGAGAAUGAUCAGUGACACAGAAACUGAGACACGGUCCAGAAUACUACAGGAGGAAGCAGUGGGGGAUAUUGCACAAUGGACGAAAGUCUGAUGCAGCAACGCUGCGUGGAGGAUGACACAUUUCGGUGCGUAACCUCCUUUUAUAUGAGAAGAUAAUGACGGUAUUAUAUGAAUAAGCACCGGCUAACUCCGUGCCAGCAGCCGCCGUAA